rnacentral:rRNA from 1 species
GACGAACGCUGGCGGCGUGCCUAAUACAUGCAAGUUGAGCGCUGAAGGUUGGUACUUGUACCAACUGGAUGAGCAGUGAACGGGUGAGUAACGCGUGGGGAAUCUGCCUUUGAGCGGGGGACAACAUUUGGAAACGAAUGCUAAUACCGCAUAAAAACUUUAAACACAAGUUUUAAGUUUGAAAGAUGCAAUUGCAUCACUCAAAGAUGAUCCCGCGUUGUAUUAGCUAGUUGGUGAGGUAAAGGCUCACCAAGGCGAUGAUACAUAGCCGACCUGAGCGGGUGAUCGGCCACAUUGGGACUGAGACACGGCACAAACGCCUACGGGAGGCAGCAGUAGGGAAUCGUCGGCAAUGGACGAAAGUCUGACCGAGCAACGCCGCGUGAGUGAAGAAGGUUUUCGGAUCGUAAAACUCUGUUGGUAGAGAAGAACGUUGGUGAGAGUGGAAAGCUCAUCAAGUGACGGUAACUACCCAGAAAGGGACGGCUAACUACGUG